AGAGUUUGAUCAUGGCUCAGGAUGAAUGCUGGCGGCGUGGAUAAGGCAUGCAAGUCAAGGGGCUCGCAAGAGCACCGGCAGACGAGGUAGUAAUACGCAGGUACGCACCUAAGAGUCUGGCAUAGCUCGUCGAAAGACGGGGUAAUUUCAGAUGGUGAGGCAACUCUAAAGUAGUAAUACGCUCUUUGAGCGGCCUGCGCGGUAUCAGCUAGUUGGUGAGGUAAUGGCUCACCAAGGCGACGACACCUAGGGGACCUGAGAGGGUGAMCCCCACCGAUGGGACUGAGACACGGCCCAUACACCUACGGGUGGCUGCAGUCAAGAAACUUCCACAAUGGACGAAAGUCUGAUGGAGCGACGCCGCGUGGUUGAUGAAGUCCUU
rnacentral:rRNA from 1 species